GUGUUAUCAAGAAAGGUGGAGGGAUUGGACCCGUUGAAGCCUUAGCAACCCUCGACUUCGAGAAGGUGCUACAUUCUACCCUUAUCCUGAACGAUUCUCGGGAAAGUAC
rnacentral:ncRNA from 2 species